rnacentral:tRNA from 1 species
UAGCUCAGUCGGUAGAGCACUUGACUUUUAAUCAAGUUGUCCGGGGUUCGAUUCCCCGG